GUGAUCCACGUGCACGAAAAUUUCAAGAGUCACUAUUGAUUGACGUAUUUCUUAUGUUUUGGAGGAAAUAAUAUAUUUUCUCAGAUAUCAGUGGCUCGAAGUUGCAGUGGGACGAAACCUUCAAAAACCGGUUUGCACGUGGAACCAUGGCGCCAGAAUGAGAGAGAUAAAUGAUGGCUCAACGCACGAUAUCGGUGAAUAGAGACCAAGUGACGGUUCGUUUAUAAAUUAAAGGCAAACAAGUGAGUUCACCACAGUCCUCUUCCACCCCUGCCACUGUCUCGAUCAUGACUUCAGCAGGGCCUGUCCAGGGCGGCCAGUCGCAGAGUGUCCAAUUGAAGCAGCAGCAGUUGCAGCAGCAGCAAGCCAUCGUCGCCCAUCAGCAAGCCCAGCUGCAGUCCUCUCAGACGCAGCUGGAGCCAGAAGCUCAAGGUCAGCAGCCUA